GGCACGGUGGUUUGGCGGUUAGCAUGUUUGCCUCGCAACUACAGAGUUGGGGUUUCGAAUCCCGCCUGUGCCC